rnacentral:rRNA from 1 species
AGAGUUUGAUCAUGGCUCAGGAUGAACGCUGGCGGCGUGCUUAACACAUGCAAGUCGAGCGAGAGCCAGCUGAGGGGUAACCCUCGGCUGGGGACAGCGGCGAACGGGUGCGUAACACGUGGGCAACCUGCCCCUGACACUGGGAUAACCCCGGGAAACCGGAGCUAAUACCGGAUACUCUCGGCCGAUCGCAUGGCUGGCCGAGGAAAGGUCCGCCGGUCAGGGAUGGGCCCGCGGCCUAUCAGCUUGUUGGUGAGGUAACGGCCCACCAAGGCGACGACGGGUAGCUGGUCUGAGAGGACUACCAGCCACACUGGAACUGAGAUACGGUCCAGACUCCUACGGGAGGCAGCAGUGGGGAAUAUUGCACAAUGGGCGAAAGCCUGAUGCAGCGACGCCGCGUGAGGGAUGAAGGCCUUCGGGUCGUAAACCUCUUUCGGCAGGGACGAAGCGAUCAGUGACGGUACCUGCAGAAGAAGCCCCGGCUAACUACGUGCCAGCAGCCGCGGUAAGACGUAGGGGACGAGCGUUGUCCGGAUUCAUUGGGCGUAAAGCGCGCGUAGGCGGCUGCGCAAGUCGGUUGUGAAAUUCCGGGGCUCAACCCCGGAACUGCGUCCGAUACUGCGUGGCUAGAGGUAGGUAGGGGAGAUCGGAAUUCCUGGUGUAGCGGAAAUGCGCAGAUAUCAGGAGGAACACCGGUGGCGAAGGCGGAUCUCUGGGCCUUACCUGAGCUCAGGCGCGAAAGCUAGGGGAGCGAACAGGAUUAGAUACCCUAGUAGUCC